rnacentral:rRNA from 1 species
GUGGAUUAGAUACCCGGGUAGUCCACGCCGUAAACGAUGGAUACUAAGCAUUGGCAGUAUCGACCCUGCCAGUGCUGUUAAUUUAAGGUAACCCGUUAAGUAUCCCGCCUGGGGAGUACGAGCGCAAGCUUAAAACUCAAAGGAAUAGACGGGGACCCGCACAAGCGGUGGAGCAUGUGGUUUAAUUCGACGGUAAACGAGGAACCUCACCAAGGCUUGACAUCUAGCUGCAAGGUCUGGAAACAGAGCCGCCUUCGAGGGUGCUAGACAGAUGCUGCACGGUUGUCGUCAGCU